rnacentral:rRNA from 1 species
CGUGCAGGCGGUUCGGCAAGUCGGACGUGAAAGCUCCUGGCUCAACUGGGAGAGGCCGUUCGAGACUACCAGACUAGAGGGCAGUAGAGGGAGGUGGAAUUCCGGGUGUAGCGGUGAAAUGCGUAGAUAUCCGGAGGAACACCAGUGGCGAAAGCGGCCUCCUGGACUGCCCCUGACGCUUAGACGCGAAAGCUAGGGGAGCGAACGGGAUUAGAAACCCCGGUAGUCCUAGCCGUAAACGAUGCGGACUUGGUGUUGGUGGCUUAAACUCCAUCAGUGCCGAAGCUAACGCGAUAAGUCCGCCGCCUGGGGACUACGGCCGCAAGGUUAAA